AUGUCCCCCGCCUCCCUCCUCCCCCUCCCCAGCAACAUGGCGCCGCCGAGGCCCCGCGCCUGCCGCCGCGCCGAUUUCGUAACGGAGCCGCCGGCCCGAGCCCGGGCCCCGGCCCGCAGCCCCCCGCCCGCAGCGCCCCCCGCACACGCCCGCGACCCCCCCCACCCGCCCCCAAAAGGCCGCCGCCCAGCGCGGCCCGGAGAGGGAGAGGGGGAGGAAGAGGAGGGCCCGCCGCCCCCGCCCCUCCGCGAACAAAAGCCCACGCGGAGGGGCCCGGGACGCGCUCGCAGCUCGCGGCGCUGCCCCCUCCCCGGGGCCCCGCGCCCCCUCCCCCGGGGGGCGGCGGAGCACAAAGCCGGGAACUCCCCGAGAGCCCCCCCCCGCAGCACCACGGCCGCGCACACCCCUCCCUCCUCCUCCUCCUCCUCCAUCGCCUCCUCCUCCUCUUUUACCGCCGCCGCCGUUCCCCGAGCUGGGCGUGGGCGGCGAGCCGAGCCCCCGAGCCGCCGCGGCCUCUGCCCCAUGUGCUGCUUUGUUCUGCUGCCGCCAGCUCCCCCCCGCGCCGAGCCGGGCACGCCACAAACUUUCCCGGACGGGGCCUUCCUCCCCGCUCCCUCCCGCCCCAAAAGCCCCCCCCCGGGGGGCUGCAGCCCCCUCCCCGGCACCCUCCCCCCCCCGCCCAGCUCCCACCCCCGGCCCCCAGCCGCUGCCAUUGUGCUGCGCUCCGCUCCGCGCCGCCCGCCCCGCGAGGCUCGGCCGCUCCCGCAGCCCGCCCGGCGGCUCGCCCCGGGCCCGGAUGGCGGCGGCGAGGGGCGAGGGGAGAAAGGAGGGGAAGGGCUGCGGGGGCGAGGGAGGGGGGCGCCGGGACUCACGGCGGCAGCGAGCGGCGCGCACGCUUUUCAAAUCUCCCUCAUUCCGGCCCCUCCCGCCCCGUCUGCGAGCUCGGGAGGCGCCGCCGCCGCGGCGGCCGCUGCCAUGCGCCCUGCUCCCGCUCCCCCCUCGCCGCCCACCCACCCACCCACACCCCCCUGCCGCCGCCGCCGCCCCCCGGCCGCCCCGAGCCGCCCGCGGAGCCCCCCGCACCGCCGCCCGCCCCCCGCACCGCCGGGCGGCUCACAACAGGUCUCCCGGCAGCGACACUCACCAGCGAGCGAGCGGCGGCCGCCACCAUCUUCCCUCCUCCUCCUCCUCCUCCCUGCGGGGCGAGGCGAGGCGAGGCAGCGCCGCCGCUGCCCGGCGGGGCGGAUGGGGGGCGGGGGGGGAAGCGGCGCCAAGGCCGGUCCCGGUGCUGGUCCCGGUCCCGGUCCCGGUCCCGGUCCCGGCAGCGGCGGCAGGGCUCGGGGACCAUGUGGGUGA
rnacentral:lncRNA from 1 species